rnacentral:rRNA from 1 species
AGUGAACGCUGGCGGUAGGCCUAACACAUGCAAGUCGAACGGCAGCACAGUAAGAGCUUGCUCUUACGGGUGGCGAGUGGCGGACGGGUGAGGAAUACAUCGGAAUCUACUUUUUCGUGGGGGAUAACGUAGGGAAACUUACGCUAAUACCGCAUACGACCUACGGGUGAAAGCAGGGGAUCUUCGGACCUUGCGCGAUUGAAUGAGCCGAUGUCGGAUUAGCUAGUUGGCGGGGUAAAGGCCCACCAAGGCGACGAUCCGUAGCUGGUCUGAGAGGAUGAUCAGCCUCACUGGAACUGAGACGCGGUCCAGACUCCUACGGGAGGCAGCAGUGGGGAAUAUUGGACAAUGGGCGCAAGCCUGAUCCAGCCAUACCGCGUGGGUGAAGAAGGCCUUCGGGUUGUAAAGCCCUUUUGUUGGGAAAGAAAAGCAGCAGGUUAAUACCCCGCUGUUCUGACGGUACCCAAAGAAUAAGCACCGGCUAACUUCGUG